UCUCCUUCCUCCUUCUGUCUAUUGCUGAGA
rnacentral:piRNA from 1 species